rnacentral:rRNA from 1 species
AUUGAACGCUGGCGGCAGGCUUAACACAUGCAAGUCGAACGAUGAUUCUCUAGCUUGCUAGAGAUGAUUAGUGGCGAACGGGUGAGUAACAUUUAGGAAUCUACCUUUUAGUGGGGGAUAGCUCGGGGAAACUCGAAUUAAUACCGCAUACGACCUACGGGUGAAAGGGGGCGCAAGCUCUUGCUAGGAGAUGAGCCUAAAUCAGAUUAGCUAGUUGGUAGGGUAAAGGCCUACCAAGGCGACGAUCUGUAACUGGUCUGAGAGGAUGAUCAGUCACACCGGAACUGAGACACGGUCCGGACUCCUACGGGAGGCAGCAGUGGGGAAUAUUGGACAAUGGGGGGAACCCUGAUCCAGCCAUGCCGCGUGUGUGAAGAAGGCCUUUUGGUUGUAAAGCACUUUAAGUAGGGAGGAAUAGUUAUUGGUUAAUACCCAAUGAUGAUGACGUUACCUACAGAAUAAGCACCGGCUAACUCUGUGCCAGCAGCCGCGGUAA